rnacentral:lncRNA from 1 species
AUGGAAAGACAGUCUUCACUGAGCUCCUGUGAUCCAUGUAUCAUUUUAUCUCGGGAGUUUGGAUGCAGUUGGUCUACUGACCUCAGUGAAAGAAACACAGUCUUGACCCAUCAGAUCCUGAUCCUGAGAACCCAGACCCGCCCGUUUCAGGAGACCAUUGCCACAGAUGAAAGGAAGUCAGCUCUCACUCUGCGAUCAGUUAGCUCUCACCUGGGUGGAGGGACACAACAAGGCUGAGCAACUGUGACUUCUUCCCCUGCUUUUACAUUAAGGAAGUUAUUUCCCAACCAAAUUUAGCUAAAGUCCAACUACUAGUUUACCUGGAAGUAUUAUUUCUUUCCUCUGUUUCGUUUCCAUUAGAUUCCUCUUCCUGGAUUUUAUUUGGGCAUAUAUUGUAAAUCAAAGAUCUAUCUUUCCCCCGUCCUAUUUCAUCACUGCUUUGUGAUAUUUCCUGUAUCUUAUUUUCAGCUUUUUUUAAAGAGUCUCUUUCUCAUUAUUUUGCUUUAUUGCUUUGUUUAUUAGAUGUUUGACCAGUGCACCGCCCCUUUAAUUCUUGUAGCCAUCUAGUUUAUGUUUAUAUUAAAUAUAUAAUAUUUACAUUAUAUUUUACAUUAGGAGAAACCCAUUAUUCUCCUUGUACUUUCUCUUUAAAAAACUUUCUAUUUUCACCAAUUAUUGAUAUUUUUAUUUUUCUUCCAGAUGAACUUGAGGAAUAAAUCUGUAUUGAUUUUGCCUUCCCUUUAUUUUUUCUUUUAAAUUGGCCAGACAGGCUUCUCACACUCCUCAUUUAUUUCUUCAUAUCUUUCAGCAAUCUUUCUUCCCUUCCCUUAUACUUAGAAUUCACGGCUCACAGCAUACAUAAUGAACUGGUUUCUCCUUUUGUCUUUAAGACUGUCUUCAAUAGUCAUAUUUCCUCAAAACACACUGACUUUCUCUCACACCUAGAAAUCUUUCCAUCUUCUUGACCUUGAAAUAAGGACCAUGAAAACAAACCUCAAUCCUCAGAGUUAAAAAAAAUCAAUUUUGGAAAAUGACUACUCUUCCUUAUCCUCUAAAAGCACCAAAAGUUAUUCUUUUUUUAUGUCAGCACAACAACAGAGGCUAAAAUUAUCUGCGCAGCACCAUUUAAAUCAUGCCUUUCUCUGCCUCAUACUAACACAGCUUAAAUAUUUAAAUACAGUUUCUUUGUUGUGAACACAAAUCACCAGCCUUUCUCCAUCACUCUAUAAUCCACACGUCACCAAUACGCUAAGCAAAUUGUAAGCAAGUACACUGAAAUUUGUCCGGAUUGACUUGGGCCAUCAGUAUUGUCUAUGUACACAACUAAGAAAUAUAUAGGCUGCCCAGGUGGCUCUAGUGGUAAAGAAUCUGCCUGCAGAUGCAGGACAUGCAAGAGACUAGGGUUCAAUCCCUGGGUCAGA